GAUGAACGCUGGCGGCGUGCCUAAUACAUGCAAGUCGAGCGAACAGACGAGGAUCUUGCUCCUCUGACGUUAGCGGCGGACGGGUGAGUAACACGUGGAUAACCGACCUAUAAGACUGGGAUAACUUCGGGAAACCGGAGCUAAUACCGGAUAAUAUAGUGAACCGCAUGGUUCAAUAGUGAAAGACGGUUUUGAUGUCACUUAUAGAUGGAUCCGCGCCGCAUUAGCUAGUUGGUAAGGUAACGGCCUACCAAGGCAACGAUGCGUAGCCGACCUGAGAGGGUGAUCAGCCACACUGGAACUGAGACACGGUCCAGACUCCUACGGGAGGCAGCAGUAGGGAAUCUUCCGCAAUGGGCGAAAGCCUGACGGAGCAACGCCGCGUGAGUGAUGAAGGUCUUCGGAUCGUAAAACUCUGUUAUUAGGGAAGAACAAAUGUGUAAGUAACUAUGCACGUCUUGACGGUACCUAAUCAGAAAGCCACGGCUAACUACGUG
rnacentral:rRNA from 1 species